rnacentral:lncRNA from 1 species
ACAGGUGCACCUCAUCCCCAGCAAGCACUGUGUGCUGGCCCAGUGAAGCGUCCAUGCCCAGCCAGCCACAGCGUGCCUGACCUGAAGGGGAUCUCGCCAGGAGGCUGAUCUCAGGAUUCAGCUUGCCGGUGCGCAGCUGUGGUAGACAAAGCUUCAAACUACCUAAGGACCAGAAAACCUUGUGCCCCUUGUGUAAGAUGCGCUAGUAUGGGCUGCCAGGUUGACCACAUUGUGUCUCCCCUAGCCGCAGGUCAAAGAGCUUAUAUUAAUUCAAAUUCCAGACCCUUUCUUUUGCUAUUUUUUUUUUCUUGGUCAAGCCUCUACAUUCUUAGUUUUAGGCUUUAGUUCUGUGAUUUUAUUUUCCUGUUCAAUUCAUGUUUCACAAAUGUUCGAAGGUGGGUGGGUUAUUUGUUUUUGUUUUUUCUUUGCAGUUAAAUGCUAUGGUUCAAACCUGAGUUAACCCAAAUAUUUCUGCCGACUUUAUAAUUGUACAGUUUUGUAUAUUAAACGUUUUUGAAGUUAUUAAUUUAAAAAGAUCAUUUAGUUUAUUCAUUUAGUAACUGAUGUAUAAUAAACGCUAUUUUCAUUAAGAGUUGCUUUUUCAACUAUUUUAUUCAAAUUGCCUAUUGCAGUUCCCAACGAUUAUUUAUUUUCAAUAAAUUCUGCAUUGUGUUUAAAUGGAAAUUGUUUCAAAGAUGAGUUGGGUGUCAAAAAGAAAACAAUUCGCUGUAACGUUUGAUGUGAGCAGUUUUAGUCAAGGGGUUUAUAUUGACGCAAUAUUUUAUUGUUGUAAAAGAUUUAAAAGGUUUAAAUAAAACAUUUUUCCAAAAAAAAAUCAUGUUUUCUUCUCCUGGCCUUCAUGUGCUGUGUGUGAAGUGGAGCAUUUAAAGAAGCACAUCUUGGGUGAGCAAGGCAUUUGCUUUGCUUCGGGUAAGAAACCGUUAGUUUUUGUAUUGAUUCUGGUUACUAUUCCUCUGAUGUUUGCCUUUUGGUUCAGAAGUAUACUCUCACACAUAAUACCUAUUUGUGCACUCAUAUCCAUGUGCUAGAGCAAAAUGUACUCUUCAAGGGUGGGGAGACUUGCUGGGAAGAACACUGGCAAGCCAGGUCCAAGACUAUUUCCUUAGUGUUCUCCGAGAGCAUAAUGUCUUUGUCAACCAGUGUUUUCUAGUCAGACCCCCAUCCUGAAAUUAUACCCAAACCUUCCCUGGACUUGUACAUUUCUUACAUACCUUUAUCUGUCUUCUUUCUCCCCACUCCUGACAAGCCCUUCUAGUAAGGGACCUGGAUAUGUUUUUAAUGUAAGUGUUAGUGUUCAUCUUAAGGUGCUCCCUGGGCCCAGAAACCUCAAACAAAUGGUGUUUUUCAAUCCCUAUUUAUCUGGUUUGCAAGAAGAAAACAAACAAGUAAAAAUAACAAGGAUUAUGAGAGAACUGGGAGAAUUUUGAUUUAUUAUACUCAUCUUUCCACUCCCACAUAUGAUUUUAAAUGUAUUAUUGAUUUCAUAAAUUCUUCCACAAAAAUAAGCGACUGCUACCUGUAGUGGCAGCUAAAGAGUAAUAUGCCAACUAUGAGACAAUUCUACUUUAAGGACAAGCAUGCUUUGUUCAAACUUUUUUUCUUGAUUGGUGUUUUUGAAGAAAUAAACAAAAUACAAUUUCUGGCAAUAAGUACCCCCUUCAACUCAUACUCUGAUAUAGAUAUUUCUCUUAGACAAAUCAUAAUUGUUUAAUCACUUUAAUAGCUAAUGAUUAUGAUGUAUGUCUUGACGUUUUCAGAUUGCACAAUUAUUUAUAGCUGUAUAGUAAAACACAC